rnacentral:rRNA from 1 species
AUUGAACGCUGGCGGCAUGCCUUACACAUGCAAGUCGAACGGCAGCACGGGAGCAAUCCUGGUGGCGAGUGGCGAACGGGUGAGUAAAGUAUCGGAACGUGCCCAGUCGUGGGGGAUAACGUAGCGAAAGUUACGCUCAUACCGCAUACGAUCUAUGGAUGAAAGCGGGGGAUCGCAAGACCUCGCGCGAUUGGAGAGGCCGAUAUCAGAUUAGGGAGUUGGUGGGGUAAAGGCUCACCAAGCCGACGAUCGGUAGCUGGUCUGAGAGGACGACCAGCCACACUGGGACUGAGACACGGCCCAGACUCCUACGGGAGGCAGCAGUGGGGAAUUUUGGACAAUGGGCGAAAGCCUGAUCCAGCCAUGCCGCGUGCAGGAUGAAGGCCUUCGGGUUGUAAACUGCUUUUGUACGGAACGAAAAGGUUUGGCCUAAUAAGCUGAGCUCAUGACGGUACCGAAAGAAUAAGCACCGGCUAACUACGUGCCAGCCGCCGCAGUAA